GACGAACGCUGGCGGCGUGCUUAACACAUGCAAGUCGAACGGAGUUUUAGUAAAUGAUUGAUUUAGCUUGCUAUUGAGAGAUUUUGCUAAAACUUAGUGGCGGACGGGUGAGUAACGCGUGGGUAACCUGCCGUAUACAGGGGGACAACAGUUGGAAACGACUGCUAAUACCGCAUAAGCGCACUAAAGCUGCAUGGCUCAGUGUGAAAAACUCCGGUGGUAUAAGAUGGAUUCGCGUCUGAUUAGCUAGUUGGUGAGGUAACGGCUCACCAAGUCGACGAUCAGUAGCCGGACUGAGAGGUUGAACGGCCCACAUUGGGACUGAGACACGGGCCCAGACUCCUAGGGAGCAGCAGUGAGGGAUAUUGCACAAUGGGGGAAACCCUGAUGCAGCGAUGGCCGCGUAGGAGGAAG
rnacentral:rRNA from 1 species